rnacentral:sRNA from 1 species
AGAGAAGAAAAGCAAGUGAAAGGAGAGGAAGCGGAUGCCGUGGGUUUACAGCAGGAAAAUCCGUGGAGACAGCAGAUCCGAGAAGCGGCGAUGUUUGCGUAGAACCCU